rnacentral:rRNA from 1 species
AUGAAUGAAGAUAUUGUACAAUGGCGGUUCACGGGGUUUUAUGGUCAUCCGGUGUGGAGUGAGUGUAACUUGUCUUGGGAUAAUAUUCGAAACUUACAUAAUAAGGUUGAUCACCCUUGGGUGGUUCUUGGAGAGUUUAAUGAAAUUUUGUUUUCGUCAGAAAAGGAAGGUGACAAUGUGAGACCAAAUGCAAUGAUAAGAGAUUUUCGUAACUGUUUAGGAGAGUGCGGCCUUGAGGACAUGGGAUGUAUUGGCGAGCCUUUCACUUAUGGGAGAGGCAAAACUAGGGAGAGACUCGACCGUGUGGUUUGCAAUCUGGAAUGGGCGAAUAUUUUUCCUCGGGUUGUGAUCAUAAACGAGGAACAUGUUCACUCCAAUCAUCAUACCCUCAUCCUGGAUACUAAAUAUUUUGAUGGCAAUAUUUUUAAUCGCCCAAGGGGACGAGUGAAACAAUUUGAAGAUCGAUGA